CCACAGCCCAGGCCCUCCCUCCGCCGAGCCGACCUGGCGCCAGCCGGGCGACGGCCGCAGGGGUCCACAAGCCCGGAGACCGAAGGAGCGCUGGGCCACAGGCGCCGGGAGGGAAGACGGGAAAGAACAAAACAAUCUCCACCACUCUCCGCGGGAACACGCCACACUCGGCCCGGUAAUCGCACACCGCUGGGAAACGCAACCCACCAACAAACACACCUACUUCCAGCAGGAGUCAGCCCUCCGAACCCGGAAGUGAAUGGGAGAAGGCACGCAGCAUUCUGGGAAGAUUUAAAGGAGCCGGGUUGGUGUGGCUGGCUGUUACCGGGGCAACCAGAGGGGCUUGGCGGUUAUCCGCGGUUUGGCGCCGUUAGCUGGACAGUCUGAGACGCUCAGAGGCCAUGUGGGAUGAGCGAAGAGGGAAGAAGGGCCCUUUCAGGAGACAGUUGUCCUGUCAGGUUAUCUAGUCGUGCCCUAGGCGGGAGCGCCACCUCUGAGAAUCUGGGUCACGACCCCCUUCUUCUUUCAGCCUUUUGGCCAAAUGAAGUAGCCCAGCGGCUCCUGACUGUCAUUUCUUUACUUUACUUUUCUGCCUCCUCUCAGAAAAUCAACAAAGACAGCAUUGAAGACCUUAAUGUAAAUCAUCUGUAAUGAGUUGAAGAAACAGGGAUGAAGUGGACGCAGCAUGUGAAGACAAUUCUUUCAAGAUGUUUGGCUGUAAAGGAGAAGAAAAAGGGGACACAGGUUCGAGCCCUAAUCCGGGAAGAUCCCACAUCCGCGGAGCAACUAAGCCCGUGCACCACAACUACUGAGCCUACGCUCUACAGCCUGCGAGCCACAACUACUGAGCCCAUGUGCCACAACUACUGAAGCCCUCAUGCCUAGAGCCCGUGAUCUGCAACAAGAGAAGCCACCGCAAUGAGAAGCCCACACACCGCAAUGAAGAGCAGCCCCCGCUCACUGCAACUAGAGAAAGCCCACACGCAGCAACGAAGACCCAACACAGCCCCCCAAAAUAAAUAAAUAAAUAAUUUUUUUAAAAAAGACAAUAUUUGAGGGCUUCCCUGGUGGCACAGUGGUUGAGAGUCCGCCUGCCGAUACAGGGGACACGGGUUCGUGCCCCGGUCUGGGAAGAUCCCACAUGCCGCGGAGCGGCUAGGCCCGUGAGCCAUGGCCACUGAGCCUGCGCGUCCGGAGCCUGUGCUCCGCAAUGGGAGAGGCCACAACAGUGAGAGGCCCGCAUACCGCAAAAAAAAAAAAAAAAAAAUUACUACAUGGGAAAACAACAACAACAAAAACAACGCUCACACACACACACAUAUACCAUAAUUGAAGUUGAAGCAACAACCCAAGAGAAAAUGUUUGCAACAUAUAUGACAAAUGUGUAUGUCAUUAAUACACAAAGAGCUCUUACAUGUCAAUAAAAAGGUUCAACACCCUAACAGGCAAACCUGGUAAAGAACAUGAACAAGCAAACAACACACACACACUCUACAAAGCAUAGGAGAAUAUUUUUAUUCUUGCUAGUUAUGAAAUACAAAAAUCCCAACAAUGAGAUGACAUGUUUUCAUUGGAUUAGCAAAGCUACAAAGGUUGGUGUUGGCAGAGAAGUGAAAGAGGGUCCUGUGGGAAUAUAAGUAUGUUCAGCCUUUCUGAGUGCAAUCUGGCAACAUGUAUCAAAAUGUUAAAUAUGUAUACUUUGAACCACCAGUGAUACUUCUAGGAAUGAAUUCAGAGGUGAUAAUCAGGCAAAUCAGAAAAUAACUUGUUAUGAUAUUAGUUAAAAAUUAGAAACAACUUAAAGUUUUAUAAGUAAGAGACUAAAUAUACUUUUGAGUGAAAAGAGCUAGUUACAAAGCAUCAUGUUCAUUGUGAUCCUAUUUAUAUAAAUAGGUAAGUGCACAUAGAAGUAAUAUUUAACAAAAUGUUAGUAAUGGAAACUCUGGUGGGAUUGCGAGUGACUUUCAAGGUUACGCAAAAGUGAGACGAGCAUGAACUCCUAUGUAUCUCCACUCAGCUUCAGUUGACACCCUUGUUUAUAGUCCAACCUACUCCCUCUCCCACCCCAAUUUUUGAAGUAAAUCCAAAACAUUUUAUCUGUAAAUAUUUUAAUACAGGGACUUCCCUGGUGGCCUAGCAGCUAGGAUUCCAGGCUUUCACUGGUUGGGAACUGAGAUCCUGCAAGCCGUGCGGCGCGGCCAAAAAUAAAUAAAUAUAUAUAUACAUAUAUAUAUAUAUAAAUAUGUACCUCUAAAAGACAAGGAUGCUUUUAAAACAUAAUCUUUUCUUUUUUUUUUUGGCCGCGCUGUGUAUCUUGCAGGAUCUUAGUUCCCUGACCAGGGAUGGAACCCGGGCCCUUGGCAGUGAAAGCACAGAGCCCUAACCCUAACCCUAACCCAGAGCCCUAAAUUCCCUGGACCUCCAGGGAAUUCUCUAAAACAUAAUCUUGAUACCAUUAUCACACUAAAAAGAAAAAAUCCUAACAAUUUCUUCAUAAGAUCAAUUAUAUCCAAUCAGUGUUCCAAUUUUUUAUUUUAUACAUCAUUUUACAGUUAGAUUGAGAUCCAGACAUUCCAAUCGGUUCACAUUUUUCCUAAUCUAUAGAUUCUCCCUCCCUCCUCUUUUUUUUUUUUUCUUGCAAUUUAUUUGGGGAAGUAACUGGGCUGUUUGAGCUUAGGAGUUUUGAGAGUAGGCCUGACCCUAACAUUUACAGACCUGGGACAGUAGUACAAAUGGAGCCCGAAAUACCAUAUAUCUAAGUAUUUAAAUGCUAUAACUCCAGCUAACAGUUAAAUAUGUUCUAUGAUCCUUCCUUGACAAAUAAACCCUCUUAGACCUGGAAGGCCAAGUUAGAAUUUCGAAUUCUCAGACUCCUUAGAGUUCCUCACUGGAUUGUGGUUGUACAGGACAGCUGGCCUGUGGCCCACAGGCUGUCCCAUUCUCUUUCCACCCCUGGCUCCAUCUCCUUCUCAAGGACACCCUGCCCACCCCUCCUGCCCCCACCCCUCCUCCCACCCACAUCUCUAAGCUCAAUCUACAUCUUCUGCAAACAGCUACCCCUGGCUGCACAGUCAAACCUUGGGAAGAUGAACUAAAGAAGAGACCCACGCAGGCCCUGAAAGCAGGCGUAGGUUGUAUAAAGUGAGAAGUUCAGGUUCUAGGGAGCCAGAACAUGGUCUGGAAGGGGCAGUGGCAUAUCCCCUUGGUCCCGUGGACUUCCUGCCCCAUCUGAAAGGACGCAGCUAGAGGAGGGCACGAGUAGGGCCCCUUGCGGGAGUCUAAAGACCAUACUUCAAUAAAGUUCCCCACAAUAAAGCUCUCACAUCCCCAGGAUGUUAUUAAAUAAGUUUCUUUGUCCCCUCUGUUGCCUAUAAAUUGAUACUUAGAUCUAGGAGCUUGAUCAGAUUUCAGAUUCAAUGUUUUUGUCAAGAAUAUUUUGUGAGUUUUGUGUACACCCAUCAGGAGGCACAAAAAAUCUGGUUGUCUUUUUAAAUGGGUUAAAAUAAAGUGCACAAAUCUUAACUGUUCAGUUCGUUUUAGCAAUUGUGUACAUCCAUGUAGUUUACUCCCAAAACAAGAUAUAGAAUAUUUCCAUCACCCCAGAAAGUUACCUCCUGAGUCUUUACAGUCAAUUCCCCUCCACCCACAGAGCCAACCACUUUCUCGCUUCCAUCCCCAUAGACACUUUUGCCUGUUCUUGGACUUUAUGCCAAUGGAAUUAUACAGCAUAUACUCUUUUGUGUCGUUUGUUAACAUAUUACCUUUUAACUUUAUCCAUGUUGUUGAUAUAUCAGUUCACUAGUUCAUCCUUUUUAUUGCUGAGUAUUAUUUCAUUAUAUGAAUGUACCAUAAUUUAUCUUUUCUCCUGUUUAUAGAUAUUAGGGUUGUUUCCAGUGUGGGGCUAUUAUGAAUAAGGCGUCUAUGAACAUUUUUAUACAUAUUGAGUUAUGGGCAUUUCAUUUUUUCUGGGUAAAUACUUAGGAGUGAAAAUGAUUUUUUAACUUUAAAAAAGACUGCCAAACAGUUCUUAAAAGUGGUUGUACCAUUUUACAUUUCUGUCAACAAUGUAUGAGAGUUCCAGUUGCUUCACAUCCUCUCCAACAUUUGGUGUUGGCAAUCUUUUUGGUUUAUAGUUGUCUCGCUUUUUAUAUUGUUAGCAGCUAUUGAUAAUCGUUACCUUGACAUAUUAAUGUAUUUGGGUUUACAAAAUGGUGUUAUUCUAUAAUUCACUUAUUUGCUGAAAUGCUUCUAUAAGGAGAAAAUUUCAAAGACAAAGAAACUUCCCUUCAAAUCUAUUUGGUUCCCCUGAAAUACAGUUCAUAUAGGAAAGGCAGGAUUAACACAAUUCUUUCUAUUUACCAAUUUUCAAAAUUAUGAGUUGGUUCUCUCACAUCUAUCAAAGAUUGACAGUGAGAGGUCUUUUUUUUUAAGUAUCAUUUUAGUAUCAUUAUUUACUUAUUUAAACUCAUGUAUUUAAAUAUUUGAUGUGUAAAAAAGAUAAGUAAAAAAGAAUUAAAUAUU